rnacentral:rRNA from 1 species
CCUACGGGUGGCAGCAGUGGGGAAUAUUGGACAAUGGGGGCAACCCUGAUCCAGCCAUGCCGCGUGUGUGAAGAAGGCCCUCGGGUUGUAAAGCACUUUCAGUGAGGAAGAACGCCUGGUGGUUAAUACCCAUCAGGAAAGACAUCACUCACAGAAGAAGCACCGGCUAACUCCGUGCCAGCAGCCGCGGUAAUACGGAGGGUGUGAGCGUUAAUCGGAAUUACUGGGCGUAAAGCGCGCGUAGGUGGCUUGAUAAGCCGGUUGUGAAAGCCCCGGGCUCAACCUGGGAACGGCAUCCGGAACUGUCAAGCUAGAGUGCAGGAGAGGAAGGUAGAAUUCCCGGUGUAGCGGUGAAAUGCGUAGAGAUCGGGAGGAAUACCAGUGGCGAAGGCGGCCUUCUGGACUGACACUGACACUGAGGUGCGAAAGCGUGGGUAGCAAACAGGAUUAGAUACCCCAGUAGUC